UAUCUGGCGUCGCAUGCUUUGGCUUAGAACUCUAUCCACAUCGAAUUUACUUGGUCUCCGGUCUCUCGUCCGCCGUCGCUCAUCGUCGAUGGACGCCGUCGAGGAAUCACUUCGCAAAGCCUUGUCUGAAAAGCUAUCCGCUGUGGAAGCGCAGGGAAAUGCUGUCCGAGCUCUCAAAGCCGCCGCCGUCUCCUCCUCUGCGUCCAAGCAGGAAAUCGAUGCCGCCAUUGAAACCCUCAACAAAUUGAAGCUGGACAAGGCUUCGAUUGAGAAACAGCUCCAAGCACACAUCGGCGGCGCCGGCCGUGACGGUUCCAUUAGUAAGGAAGCAUUCCGUCAAGCGGUUGUUAACACUCUGGAGCGGCGUUUGUUUUACAUACCCUCCUUUAAGAUUUACCGGGGUGUUGCUGGGCUUUACGAUUAUGGACCACCUGGUUGCUCCAUUAAGUCCAAUGUCCUUAGCUUCUGGCGUCAGCAUUUUGUUCUUGAGGAGAACAUGUUGGAGGUUGACUGCCCAUGCGUGACACCUGAAGUUGUACUCAAGGCAUCAGGUCAUGUGGAUAAAUUCACUGACCUCAUGGUGAAGGAUGAGAAAACUGGGACAUGCUACCGAGCUGAUCACUUGCUCAAGGAUUAUUGCAAUGAAAAAUUACAGAAGGACCUGAGCAUGGCUCCAGAAAAGGUUGCAGAACUCAAGCAUGUAUUAGCCACCUUGGAUGAUCUCUCUUCUGAAGAGCUGGGUGUGAAGAUCAAGGAGUAUGGUAUUACAGCUCCAGACACAAAGAAUCCACUUUCUGAUCCUUAUCCAUUUAAUUUAAUGUUCCAGACAUCUAUUGGCCCAUCUGGUUUGCUUCCUGGGUAUAUGCGCCCUGAAACUGCGCAAGGCAUCUUUGUUAAUUUCAAAGACUUGUACUAUUUCAAUGGGAAUAAACUCCCAUUUGCUGCAGCCCAAAUUGGACAGGCAUUUAGAAAUGAGAUAUCUCCCCGCCAAGGCCUUCUCAGAGUCCGUGAAUUCACAUUGGCAGAAAUUGAGCACUUUGUUGAUCCAGAAGAUAAAUCCCAUCCAAAAUACUCAGAAGUUGCCAGCUUAGAGUUUCUUAUGUUCCCAAGGGAGGAGCAAAUGUCUGGUCAAUCUGCAAAGAUGAUACGCCUUGGUGAUGCUGUUUCCAAGGGAAUUGUCAAUAAUGAGACGCUUGGUUACUUCAUUGGAAGAGUAUAUCUUUUCUUGACUCGUCUUGGUAUAGAUAAAGAACGUUUACGAUUCAGACAACACCUUGCUAAUGAGAUGGCCCAUUAUGCUUGUGACUGCUGGGAUGCUGAAAUUGAGUGUUCCUAUGGUUGGAUUGAGUGUGUUGGCAUUGCAGAUAGGUCUGCAUAUGAUUUGCAUGCUCACACGGAGAAGAGUGGUGUUCCUCUAGUAGCUUCUGAAAAAUUUGCAGAACCUAAGGAAGUGGAGAAAUUGGUUAUAGCUCCUGUAAAAAAAGAGUUGGGUCUAGCUUUCAAGGCAAAUCAAAAGAAGGUGGUUGAAUCGCUUGAGGCUAUGAAGGAGAAGGAAGCUUUGGAUAUGAAGGCAGCUUUGGAAUCCAAAGGGGAAGUAGAGUUUUAUGUCUGUACACUUGAGAAAAAUGUGACUAUUAAGAAAAAUAUGGUGACUAUUAACAAGGAGACAAAAAAAGAACACCAGAGAGUUUUUACACCAUCUGUAAUUGAACCAUCCUUCGGAAUUGGACGGAUAAUAUAUUGCCUGUUUGAGCACUCUUUCUACAUGAGGCCAAGUAAAGCCGGGGAUGAGCAAUUAAAUGUAUUCCGCUUUCCCCCUAUUGUGGCUCCUAUUAAAUGCACAGUUUUCCCACUAGUCCAGAACCAGCAAUAUGAAGCGGUUGCUAAAUCAAUUUCCAAGUCAUUGACGGCAGCUGGAAUUUCACAUAAGAUUGAUGUGACGGGUACGUCGAUAGGAAAGCGAUAUGCAAGAACAGAUGAACUUGGUGUUCCCUUUGCAAUCACUGUAGAUUCAGAAUCAUCAGUGACUAUUAGGGAGAGAGACAGUAAAGAUCAAGUGCGUGUGAAUGUGGAAGAAGCUGCCUCAGUUGUUAAGGAGGUGGCGGAAGGCCACAGGACAUGGGCUGAUGUGUGGUCAACGUUUCCUCAUCAUUCCUCUGCAUCCCAGGAGGAUUGAGGAUAAUGUGUGGUCAACGUCUCUCGCUCGGGUUGACUCAUUCACGUUCAUUUUCGUGAUAUUGUUUGAGUAAUGAAUCCAACUACAAAAAGUUAUCGUGGUAUUUGAGGAUGAACAUGGUACGUGCCCCUUUAAUUUCAGAAUUCUGACCAGCAUUGAUCACCCACCAGCGAUGGUCUUGUUUUUAGGCCCAAUAUCUUUACGUCAAAAUAUAGUUUCCAAUUUUCCAUCUAGUCUCUUGAUCUCAUAGUUAUGUUUCAGAAUUUAUUGGGCAUAAUUU